AGUAAUCGUAUUACUCACUGUGUUUGUUUUCCAUCUUUCAUGGACCAUUGCCCUUCAUGGCCUAUGUCCAAUGCUUUGUGGGCCAUUGUUUCAUAAAUGUUUUCUAUUUUUUUAAACUAUUUAGAAGUUUAUAAUAAUUGUACAUAAAUACAGUAGCAUUCACAGUCUUUAUUGGGGAAAUUCACUUUCGCAAUUAUAAAUACACAUACUGUACUUCAGUUAACACAAUGUUUCAAUAUCUAAAGCACCUAAGAAUUUCUUGCUAUAAUUAUUUUGAAAAAGGCUUACCUAUAUUAUAAAGUGAAUGUUAAAAUAGUAGCAAUAAAUACAGUGGUAUCUUUCUGAUUAGAUGGUAAUAAUCUGAAAGACUGUUUCUUUUUUGGCUGCAUCCAUGGCAUGUUGAAGUUCCCAGGCCAGAGAUCGAACUCAUCCCACAGCAGCAACCCAAGCUGCUGUAGUGACAACACUUGAUCCUUAACCCACUGAAUCACAGAACUCCUAACCUGCAAGAUUUCUUGACCACACAAUUUUAGAGAGCCCAGAAGAGACAGAGAGUGGGUAUCUGUCUCUUUGGAUUUUUAAAGGUCAAAGUAGAAAAUAUUAAAUACGAAGCUAAAACUGAAUUCUGGUAUAACCCACAUAUUAGGUAGGUAGUUAGAUAUAGACUGUCUUAGUUUCUUUUUUUAUUUUAUUUAUGUAUUUUUUUUCCUUUUUUUUCUUUCUUUUUUUUUUUCGCUUUUUAGGGCUGCACUUGCAGCAUAUGGUAGUUCCCAGGCUUGAGGCUGAACUGGAUCUACAGCUGUCUGCCUACACAACAGGCACAGCAACGUCAGAUCCGAGCCAUGGCUGCCACCUACACCACAGCUCAUGGGAACGCCAGAUCCUUAAACCCACUGAGCAAGGCCAGGAAUUGAACCCGCAACCUCAUGGUUCCUAGUCGGAUUUGUUUCCACUGCCCUCCCGAUGGGAACUCCUUAUUAAUAUUAUUCUGCCACCAAGGAAGCACAUCAAGCUCCAGGUUUCUUUGUGGGAAUUAGAACUUGGGAAUUCUGCUCUGACUCGUGUAUUGGGUAACAGUUUUCAGUUGGAUCCAGAGCACAUAAAGGAUCUAGCAGGUACAGGCUGCAGUAUAACUAGCCUAUUGCCUGGGCCGUUUAGUCCUGGAGGUUCUAUGAGUCAAGAGUAUCUGUGAUAAACAAAGCAGCCAUGGGGGUUUAUGGCAAGCUCCAGUUGGAGAAUCACAAGGUAGAGAACCACAUGUCAUUCAGAAAUGGUUUCUUGUAUGCCUUGGUAAGAACCGAGCAUCUCAUGGGACAUCAGGUGACCCUGUAGCCCGUCGUGAGCUAGGUUUUGUCAGACACCAAGUUACUCCAUCAUAAGGUGGAAGUGGUACAUCUGGGAUCAGUGGCAGGUAGGGCCAGAGGAAGUGAGUAGGUGCACAGGCAGGUGACCCAGACUCCCAUGUCAUACUUAGAACUCUUGCACCAAAGUCCCUCCUUCAACUCACAAUUAUGGCUGCAUGAGAGGCUCUUACAUCUAACUGAUGGAGGACAAAAAAGCCCCAGGUAAGUUCACUGAUGGGUUUUCUUGGAAUAUGGGUUCAAAACAAAAGAAGUGCAAAACUUGCUGCCCUACAGCCCUACUCAGGAGUGGUGCUAAGAGACAAGAAUUCUCCAAAAAAGGCAGAAUUGGGGGCAGUAUUCCUAGUCAUCCACUUUUUGUGGAAGAAGUGACCUGAAGUAAGACUGUAUCUUCUUGGACCUGGAAUGAGAAAGAUGAGAUGAUCAGGCCCAAGGAAGCCUGGAGAAGGAGCGGUGGAGAAAUCUGUAGGAUUGGGCACGUGAGUAAAGAACUUUGGGUCAUAUAACAAUGCCUGCCGGGGGCAGUCCACCACGGAAGAGGCACUCAGCCAAAUAAACAAAAAGACUCGGCCAGUUAUCUUCCGCAGCUGCAGUCAUCAGCUAUCCCAGUGCUGGCAUAAUGGGCUCACAUUCGCAGUCAUUUUGCAGGGAUGCAGGUUGCAAGAGGCCAACAUCGUGGCUUCCGCUGACCAAGUGGCCACUCCCUCACAUUCAACACUGAGCCCUUGAUACACAUCAUCCCUUAAGGAAACCAAGCAGCUACUUAGUAGCAAGUUGACUACACUGGACUCCAUUCCUGAAAGGACAGAGAUUCACCUUCACUAGAAUCUUCACAUCUCCAGAUACGAGUUUGCCCUUCCUGCCCACAGGAUGUUGGCCAAGUUAUUUAACCAAGGGUUCACAAGGGUUUGAUCUAUCAACAUGUAUCCUGUGUAACACUGCCUUUGACCUAGGGACCCACUUUACAGCAAAGGAGGUGUUUCAGUGGGCACAUGCUCAUGGAAUUCACUGGUCUUAUCACAUAAUAACAGAACCUAGAAAAUGCUGGCUGGAUGGAGUGGUGGAAAAACCUUUUGAAACUGAAGGAAAAGCUUGGAGAGAGUAACCUGUGAAGAUGGGCUGCUCUCCACCGCAACUCAGUCUACACUCUAAAUCACUCAUUAUAUAGUGCCAGGUCCAGUAUAGAUAGAAAAUGCAAGUCUAGGAAUGAAAGGGUAAGAAUAGGAGAAUUGGAGUUUCUGUCAUGGCUCAACAGGUUAGGAAGCCACCUCGUAUCCAUGAGGAUGCGGGUUCGAUCCCUUGCCUUGCUCAGUGGGUUCAGGAUCCAGUGUUAUCGUGAGCUGUGGUGUAGGUGGCAGAUGCAGCUUGGAUGUGAUAUUGCUGUGGUGUAGGUCAGCAGCUCUAGCUCGGAUUCCACCCCUAGCUGAGAACUUCCAUAUGCUGCAGGUGAGGCCCUAGGGGGAAAAAAUAGAAUUCCCCUUUCAGUGGACUAAAUAAUGUCCUUCCCCCCCUCCCAUAAUUCAUGUCUUGAUGCCCAGAACCUGUGAACAUGUUAUCUUACAUGGUGGGAGGGACUUGGUAGCUCUGAUUAAGUUAAGGGUCUCCUGAUGAGGAGCAAGCAAAACUUAGAUGAUCCGGGUGGGCCCAAUAUAAUCUCAGUGAUCCUUUGAGAGGUGGGAGCAGGUCGUAGGAGAUGUGAUGACUGAAGCCGGAGGAUGGGGUGAUAUAAGGAAGGGACCACGAGCCAAAGAAUGCAGAAGUGGGCAAGCACACUGCCAAGCAUAUAGAAAGUGCUCGAUAAAUGUUAAAUGAAUGAAUGUUCUCAGCGUUGACUUUUGUCAUUAUAUUCUCGAUGUUUCCUUUGUUAACUAAACAACAGUGGAAUCUUUAUAUUCAUUUGGCAUUUAUGAAAGUAUAAAAUUCAAAUAGCUGGAUUUUGAUGAUCAUACCUGAAAUUUACUUUAAAGCUAUAAGGUAAUUUAGGAUCAGAGAUAUUUUUAAGUAAUUCCCAAGAUAAAGUUAUGGUGUGUAUUCAUCCUUUUGAGGUCUGUCAAACCCUACCAUCCUACUGGCAUCCCAUCUUCCAUUUGAUGGGAAUAUGUAAUACAUUGGUAGGAAGAAGGGGGAAGGUAAUUCUAAGAGCUUGUUUCCUUCUGCUUCCUCCCACUAAGGAAGCUGCUUGCACCUGCCCUCUGAUACAGCUUGGAUACAGACACAUGGUCCAGUAAGCUUGACCAAUUACAUGGUCACUCCGGGAACUUGCAAUCUUGAUGCAUAAUUAAAAUAAUCUUCUAAUAAAUUCCCUUUUGC
ensembl:lncRNA